rnacentral:rRNA from 1 species
GAUGAACGCUGGCGGCGUGCCUAAUACAUGCCAGUCGAGCGAACAGACGAGGAGCUUGCUCCUCUGACGUUAGCGGCGGACGGGUGAGUAACACGUGGAUAACCUACCUAUAAGACUGGGAUAACUUCGGGAAACCGGAGCUAAUACCGGAUAAUAUAUUGAACCGCAUGGUUCAAUAGUGAAAGACGGUUUUGCUGUCACUUAUAGAUGGAUCCGCGCCGCAUUAGCUAGUUGGUAAGGUAACGGCUUACCAAGGCAACGAUGCGUAGCCGACCUGAGAGAGUGAUCGGCCACACUGGAACUGAGACACGGUCCAGACUCGUACGGGCAGCAGCAGUAGGGAAUCUUCCGCAAUGGGCGAAAGCUUGACGGAGCAACGCCGCGUGAGUGAUGAAGGUCUUCGGAUCGUAAAACUCUGUUAUUAGGGAAGAACAAAUGUGUAAGUAACUAUGCACGUCUUGACGGUACCUAAUCAGAAAGCCACGGCUAACUACGUG